AUACGGAAGGUCCGGGCGUUAUCCGGAUUUAUUGGGUUUAAAGGGAGCGCAGGCGGCACUUCAAGCGUGACGUAAAAUUUCGGGGCUCACCCCCGUUUUGCGUCGCGAACUGUUGUGCUUGAGUAGGCGGCAGGGAGGCGGAAUUCGCGGUGUAGCGGUGAAAUGCUUAGAUAUCGCGAGGAACUCCGAUAGCGCAGGCAGCCUCCCGUUGCUUUACUGACGCUCAUGCUCGAAGGUGCGGGUAUCGAACAGGAUUAGAUACCCUGGUAGUCCGCACUGUAAACGAUGGAUGCCCGCUGUUGGGCCUUUUGGGUUCAGUGGCCAAGAGAAAUCGUUAAGCAUCCCACCUGGGGAGUACGCCGGCAACGGUGAAACUCAAAGGAAUUGACGGGG
rnacentral:rRNA from 1 species